rfam:Rana catesbeiana mitochondrial cytb gene for cytochrome b, partial cds and D-loop region.
GCUUUUAAAGGAAAAGAGCCCUCCACUGGUCUUAGGCGCCAGCAUCUCUUGGUGCAAGUCCAAGUAAAAGCU